UCCAGGCCCAUCCUGCUUCUGCUUCUAACUGUCUGUGAGUCUCCUCACCUGUUAAGCUAAAUGUUGUGGGGGACGAAGGGUGAAUGGCUGCUAAUGAGCUACAAAGCACUCUUACUGGAGGCUGAUACUGUUACUGCAGUGUGACCAUACUGCAAUAGGCAGGUGUAUGAGUGAUUACAUACAUUUGGCUCUGAUCCCUCGCAGUGAGAAACCAAAAUGGUCAUUCUCUGCACAGCUCAUGUAACUCUCAUCAGGAACACGGUCAAAUAAGCCCAUUAUUACGCUGUCCAACCACUCCAGAGGAGCACACGUAUCCCAGCUCAUCACUCUC